rnacentral:rRNA from 1 species
AUUGAACGCUGGCGGCAGGCCUAACACAUGCAAGUCGAACGAGUGGCGGACGGGUGAGUAAUGUCUGGGAAACUGCCUGAUGGAGGGGGAUAAAUACUGGAAACGGUAGCUAAUACCGCAUACCAUCGGAUGUGCCAAGAUGGGAUGAGCUAGCAGGUGGGGUAAAGGCUCACCUAGGCGACGAUCCAUAGCUGGGCUGAGAGGAUGACCAGCAACUCUGGAACUGAGACACGGUCCAGACUCCUCCGGUAGGCAGCAGGGGGGAAUAUUGCACAAGGGGCGCAGGCCUGAUGCAGCCCUGCCGCGUGUAUGAAGAAGGCCUUCGGGUUGUAAAGUACUUUCAGCGGGGAGGCGUUACCCGCAGAAGAAGCACCGGCUAACUCCGUGCCAGCAGCCGCGGUAAUUC